UCUCCGUUGGUGAACCAGCGGAGGGAUCAUUACAGAGUUUUCACAACUCCCAACCCUUGCGAACCUACCCCAUUCUGUUCUCGUUGCUUCCGGCGGCGGGCACCGGGGGGCCCGAACCUGCCUCCCCGCCCCCCGCGCCGGGCUCGCCCUUCCCCACGUACCUCUAUAUCUCAACUUUCUGCAACCGACGUCGAAACUAUACAAAAUAAUCAAAAUUUUCAUCAACGGAUCUCUUGACUCAGCCAUCGAUGAAGAACGCCGCCGAACGGAAGAGCACAC
rnacentral:misc_RNA from 1 species